rnacentral:misc_RNA from 1 species
AUUAGUACUUGUCAGCGGCUGGCUAAUAACCAGUCCGUCUGCACAUUUACCCUGUUUUUUGCGUACCUAUUGUUUCCUCGGCAGGCUCGCCUGCCAGAGGACCCAUUUUCAACCUUUUUGAAAUAGUAGUCAGCGUCAGAAAAACUUAAUUAUUUA